UUAAAGUAAUGAUGGCGACUGAGCCUGUGGUCAAACGGAUGAAAAACAAAAACUGGAACGCAUCGGAAACGACAAUUCUUGUCGAACGGUGUGUUGAAGGGUAUAGCCUUCUGUUUGGAAGUCAUUCGCCUUCGGUAACGGAAGGGAAAAAGGAUUUGUUUUGGAAGGAAACAAUUGAAAUGAUAAAUGCAGUUGGACCCGGGAGAAGUUUGCAUGAGGCAAAAAGAAAAUGGGUGGACCUAAAAAGUUCCACAAAGGCCAAAGAAAAAAAAUUAAAAAGGAAGUGGGAAAAACAGGUGGUGGACCUGCGCCAGACAAGUUGACACCACUUGAAGAAAAGGUGCUGACUGUCAUUCCGAAAGCGUCCAUUGAGGGUGUCACUGCAGAGGGGGAUGUUUUUUUAGACAAUCUUAAAGGUAAUCUGAAUAAUUAAUAUACAUAAACAACCAGCAUAUAAUAAAAAUCCUCAUGAGAUAAUCCUCCAUUGAGGAGAAAUUUGAGACUGAAGAAGUGCAAUGUACACACAAUGAAAACAAAAUGGUUUCACUGGCUGAAAAUGUUGCACCACUUCAAUUGACUGAAAAUUUAAAAACUCAAACAGAAGUUGCAUCAAGCAGCUGUAUUAAAUUAGAAAACAAAAAACAGAAGACAGACACAACAAAUACCACAUGUCAAGCAUGUAGGAGCAGUGUGACGAAAACCCAGGAGGAGAUGCUGAUUGCAUCAAGAGAAAGAAAUACCAUACUGAAAGACAUUAACAAAAAUCUCGAGGAACUGGUUUCUUUAAAGAAAAUGAAAUUCUUAAAUGCGCAAUUGUUUCCCGAAUUGUAAAUUGGUUUUAACUGUGAUGAUGUUAAGUGUUAAGUGUUUCUAUGAACCGUAUAAACUAAAUGAUGUAAUUUUAUUAUUAAUUGUCAGACGAGUUAUUACACUGUGCCCAGUUGGUAUAUUGUAAUUUCUAAAUAAUAAUAAAUACAUGUGAAUGUUCUUUAUGUUUUAUUAAUUGAAUAUAAGUAUAGUUGCAAUUGUAAUCAAAAACCAUACAUAUCAUUAGGAUAAAAAUGCCUAUAAAAUUACUAAAAACUUGCACAGGUAGAUUAAUAAUUUAGGAAGUACAAUAUACCAACUCCGCAUGGUGUUGUAAUUCAUCUGACAAUUUAUAAUAAAACUAAAUAAAAAUAUUAGAAAAAACUC